UCCGGAAUGGUCUAACGGUCAUGAUUUCCGCUUGUCACGCGGGAGACCAGGGUUCGACUCCCUGUUCCGGAG
rnacentral:tRNA from 14 species